UCCACCCAUUAUGAAUCUAUACCUAUGUCUUUUUAUAAGUUGUUGGUACUCUUCAAAUUGGAUUUGAUGCCUUGGAGGACUGUACACAGAGAUGACAUGGAACGAAUACCCCAUUUAACUAUAGGAAACGCCUGUUUUUUUACACGGUUUUUUACACGGAUUUCUGAGGAACGUAUCUACCGUGUAACAAAAGAGUUGGAUGUAUUUACUUCAGUAUACUUUUAGGGUAAAAUAAUAUAAGUAAUUUUUUGUGGCGCCAAAAAAGUCUCCAAAACAACUGACGUUUUUCUCCUCUAUGUCCAAUAAAAAGUGAUAUCGCCGAAUAACAAACCUUCCAAUCCAAAUUAGUCAGUAAUUGUAAGUCGCUGCUUCUGCACUCCAAUACACCUGAAUACCGCGCCAGAGAUAAAGAGAUGCCCAAUUCAUCUCUCAUUGGAAGUGAGAGAGCAAUUGCUAAACGUCAAAAUCUCAUGAAGUUUGUUAGCUGAUCGAGUUCUGGAGUUUUUGACGAUCGUAAAGGAGGAGUAGAGAACGAAUCAUCUGAUUCUAUGUAAACUAAGGCACAGCUGAGAGGUGCCCAUGCAGAAACGUCAAGGGGAGACCGGUGUUGAGUUUCUAUUGGCAUCCAAGAUGACCGGCUUUUACCCGGAAAAUGGUUGCAUUGUGUUAUUUUCAUAAAAUUUAUGGAAAAUUUGUACCAAAAAUAUUCGUUAUAUAUAAAACUUUAAUAUAUUUUCAAAAUAAAA